rnacentral:rRNA from 1 species
GGGGAAUCUUAGACAAUGGGGGCAACCCUGAUCUAGCCAUCCCGCGUGAGUGAUGAAGGCCUUAGGGUUGUAAAGCUCUUUCAGCUGGGAAGAUAAUGACGGUACCAGCAGAAGAAGCCCCGGCUAACUCCGUGCCAGCAGCCGCGGUAAUACGGAGGGGGCUAGCGUUGUUCGGAAUUACUGGGCGUAAAGCGCACGUAGGCGGACCAGAAAGUUGGGGGUGAAAUCCCGGGGCUCAACCUCGGAACUGCCUUCAAAACUAUUGGUCUUGAGUUCGAGAGAGGUGAGUGGAAUUCCGAGUGUAGAGGUGAAAUUCGUAGAUAUUCGGAGGAACACCAGUGGCGAAGGCGGCUCACUGGCUCGAUA